GUCUCUGGCUGGGUGGAGGACUCUCAGUUAGACUGGACAGGCCUCUGGCUGGGUGGAGGCUGUUAGACUGGACAGGCCUCUGGCUGGGUGGAGGACUCUCAGUUACUGGACAGGCCUCUGGCUGGGUGGAGGACUCUCAGUUAGACUGGACAGGUCUCUGGCUGGGUGGAGGACUCUCAGUUAGACUGGACAGGUCUCUGGCUGGGUGGAGGACUCUCAGUUAGACUGGACAGGUCUCUGGCUGGGUGGAGGACUCUCAGUUAGACUGGACAGGCCUCUGGCUGGGUGGAGGACUCUCAGUUAGACUGGACAGGUCUCUGGCUGGGUGGAGGACUCUCAGUUAGACUGGACAGGCCUCUGGCUGGGUGGAGGACUCUCAGUUAGACUGGACAGGUCUCUGGCUGGGUGGAGGACUCUCAGUUAGACUGGACAGGCCUCUGGCUGGGUGGAGGACUCUCAGUUAGACUGGACAGGCUGGGUGGAGGACUCUCAGUUAGACUGGACAGGCUGGGUGGAGGACUCUCAGUUAGACUGGACAGGUCUCUGGCUGGGUGGAGGACUCUCAGUUAGACUGGACAGGCAUCUGGCUGGGUGGAGGACUCUCAGUUAGACUGGACAGGCUGGGUGGAGGACUCUCAGUUAGACUGGACAGGUCUCUGGCUGGGUGGAGGACUCUCAGUUAGACUGGACAGGUCUCUGGCUGGGUGGAGGACUCUCAGUUAGACUGGACAGGCCUCUGGCUGGG
ensembl:lncRNA